rnacentral:rRNA from 1 species
GGAAUAUUGGACAAUGGGGGAAACCCUGAUCCAGCAACGCCGCGUGGAGGAUGAAGGCCUUCGGGUUGUAAACUCCUGUCAGGUGGAGCGAAAAGCGCCGGUAAAUAGCCGGUGUCUAUGACGGUACCACCAGAGGAAGCCCCGGCUAACUCCGUGCCAGCAGCCGCGGUAAUACGGAGGUGGCAAGCGUUCUUCGGAAUUAUUGGGCGUAAAGGGCGCGUAGGCGGCCAAGCAAGUCAGGGGUGAAAUCCCUCGGCUCAACCGAGGAACUGCCUCUGAAACUGCUUGGCUUGAGACCGGGAGAGGGUGGUGGAAUUCCUAGUGUAGCGGUGAAAUGCGUAGAUAUUAGGAGGAACACCAGUGGCGAAGGCGACCACCUGGACCGGAUCUGACGCUGAGGCGCGAAAGUGUGGGGAGCAAAC